AGAUUGAACGCUAGCGGGAUGCUUUACACAUGCAAGUCGAACGGCAGCGCGGACUUCGGUCUGGCGGCGAGUGGCGAACGGGUGAGUAAUAUAUCGGAACGUGCCCAGUAGCGGGGGAUAACUACGCGAAAGCGUGGCUAAUACCGCAUACGCCCUACGGGGGAAAGGGGGGAUCGCAAGACCUCUCACUAUUGGAGCGGCCGAUAGUCAGAUUAGCUAGUUGGUAGAGGUAAAGGCUCACCGAAGGCGACCGAAUCUGUAGCUGGUUUAGAGUAGGACGACCAGCCCAC
rnacentral:rRNA from 1 species